GGGUCUCUGGGUGGUGUGGCACUGGGCGUAGGGAGUCAGAGGGGUGCUGGGCAGGAGUGUGUGGAGGGGUCUCUGGGUGGUGUGGCACUGGGCAUAGGUAGUCAGAGGGGUGCUGGGCAGGGGUGUGUGUGUGGGGGUCUCUGGGUGGUGUGGCACUGGGUGUAGGUAGUCAGAGGGGUGCUGGGCAGGGGUGUGUGUGUGGAGGUCUCUGGGUGGUGUGGCACUGGGCGUAGGGAGUCAGAGGGGUGCUGGGCAGGAGUGUGUGGAGGGGUCUCUGGGUGGUGUGGCACUGGGCAUAGGUAGUCAGAGGGGUGCUGGGCAGGGGUGUGGGGGGUCUCUGGGUGGUGUGGCACUGGGCGUAGGGAGCCAGAGGGGUGCUGGGCAGGGGGGUAGCAUGGUGCAGCAUGGGCCCACACCGAAGGGGAAGAAGCAGGAUGGCAGCACAGGGCUGGGCUGGACAGUGCCCGUCUGGCAGCUCCCGGGUUGUAAACAGUGCCCUUGUACUGG